GGACCCGCACAAGUAGUGGAGCAUGCGGAUUAAUUCGAUGCAACGCGAAGAACCUUACCAAGGCUUGACAUAUAGAGGAAAAGUGCAGAAAUGCACUCCCCGCAAGGUCUCUAUACAGGUGGUGCAUGGUUGUCGUCAGCUCGUGUCGUGAGAUGUUGGGUUAAGUCCCGCAACGAGCGCAACCCUCGUCCUAUGUUGCCAGCACGUAAUGGUGGGAACUCAUGGGAUACUGCCGGGGUCAACUCGGAGGAAGGUGGGGAUGACGUCAAAUCAUCAUGCCCCUUAUGUCUUGGGCUUCACGCAUGCUACAAUGGCCGGUACAGAGGGCUGCAAUACCGCAAGGUGGAGCGAAUCCCAAAAAGCCGGUCUCAGUUCGGAUUGAGGUCUGCAACUCGACCUCAUG
rnacentral:rRNA from 1 species